UGCUCUCAUUGCCCCUGCUUUGAUUAUUCCUCAUCUCUUCUUCAAGGUCAUAACGAGAACGCUUUGUAGAGUCCGAAAGCACCGCAUAGGCCUCUCCUAUCAUUUUAAAGAGCCUGUCAGCAUCUUUGUGAACUUCUUCUGCUAUCUCUUUCCACAGUCCAUCAUCCACAUUGUCAUUUCUAGCCAGUGAUUGCCCAGCCUUAUCAGGGUGAUGCUUG
rnacentral:misc_RNA from 1 species